rnacentral:lncRNA from 1 species
UCGAUGAGAUCAUGAGCGGGUAUUAGCACCCGGUGCCACUUGAGCGAGUAUCGAUGAGAUCGUGAUACUAAGGUUACAUUGCGUAGUAUUUCAAGAUUAGCAUCACUUCACUAACAAUCAAUAUGGACGAGCAAUGCUUCAGAAUGACAAUAGAGGUUCGAACAAAGAAUACACAAGCUGAUCUGGCAUCACUAAGUUGAGGUAGAUGACCAAUGAUUCUAGCUAUCAAGUCACAGAUUCACAAUAGAGAUUCUAACACAGAUUUGGCAAUCCUGGAUACUUAUACACAAGUGCCCCCAUGCAGGGGUUUUGAUUGAGGACAAAUUGGUCUUGGGGAUUUCCAUCAAUUCUCUCUUGGGCAUUUCAUCAAACAGUUGGCAGGUGCUUGAUGCCAACGUUGAUUCCGAGGACCGGGGGGGGUUGUCUUCUUUUGGUUGAGAAGUUUUACAAUGCAAUGCCAAAAAUGUGUCAAGUCAAACAAGUAUAUCGAUGAGAUCAUGAGCGGGUAUUAGCACCCGGUGCCACUUGAGCGAGUAUCGAUGAGAUCGUGAUACUAAGGUUACAUUGCGUAGUAUUUCAAGAUUAGCAUCACUUCACUAACAAUCAAUAUGGACGAGCAAUGCUUCAGAAUGACAAUAGAGGUUCGAACAAAGAAUACACAAGCUGAUCUGGCAUCACUAAGUUGAGGUAGAUGACCAAUGAUUCUAGCUAUCAAGUCACAGAUUCACAAUAGAGAUUCUAACACAGAUUUGGCAAUCACUAUUCACUAAGUUGCCAACAAAAGCCAUAUUAUCUAACCAACCAAUAAUAUGGACGAGCAAUGCUUCAAACUCCAA